rnacentral:rRNA from 1 species
UCCUUAGAUGUUCUGGGCCGCACGCGCGCUACACUGAUGCAUUCAACGAGUUUCUUCCUGGUCCGAGAGGAAUGGGUAACCUUUUGAAAGUGCAUCGUGAUAGGGAUAGACUAUUGCAAUUAUUGGUCUUCAACGAGGAAUUCCUAGUAGACGUAGUUCAUCAGACUGCAUCGAUUACGUCCCUGCCCUUUGUACACACCGCCCGUCGCUCCUACCGAUUGAAUGCUCAGGUGAGCCAUUCGGACUUUCAUCAUGCUGGUUUCCAGUUUUGAUGAAGGAAAGUCUUGCGAACCUUAUCAUUUAGAGGAAGGAGAAGUCGUAACA